UGGGGAAUAUUGGACAAUGGGGGAAACCCUUAUCCAGCGACGCCGCGUGAGGGAAGAAGGUUUUCGGAUUGUAAACCUCUGUCAGCGGGGACGAUAAUGACGGUACCCGCGGAGGAAGCCACGGCUAACUACGUGCCAGCAGCCGCGGUAAUACGUAGGUGGCAAGCGUUGUCCGGAAUUACUGGGUGUAAAGGGAGCGUAGGCGGGGUUUCAAGUCAGAAGUGAAAAUUAUGGGCUCAACUCAUAACCUGCUUUUGAAACUGAAACUCUUGAGUGAAGUAGAGGCAAGCGGAAUUCCUAGUGUAGCGGUGAAAUGCGUAGAUAUUAGGAGGAACACCAGUGGCGAAGGCGGCUUGCUGGGCUUUUACUGACGCUGAGGCUCGAAAGCGUGGGGAGCAAACAGG
rnacentral:rRNA from 1 species